rnacentral:rRNA from 1 species
UACGGAGGGGGCUAGCGUUGUUCGGAAUUACUGGGCGUAAAGCGCACGUAGGCGGCUUUCUAAGUCAGGGGUGAAAUCCUGGAGCUCAACUCCAGAACUGCCUUUGAUACUGGGAAGCUCGAGUCCGGAAGAGGUGAGUGGAGCUCCGAGUGUAGAGGUGAAAUUCGUAGAUAUUCGGAAGAACACCAGUGGCGAAGGCGGCUCACUGGUCCGGUACUGACGCUGAGGUGCGAAAGCGUGGGGAGCAAACAGG